UGGUCUACAGAGUGAGUUCCAGGACAGCCAGGGCGAUACAGAGAAACCCUGUCUCGAAAACCAAAAAAAAAAAAGAAAAAAAAAAAAAGCAGGGCAGAGUGGGAAACUGAAGGAGUGUAACUUCUAGAUUACAAGACUGCCUUCUCUCUCAGGUUGGCACUCCUUGGCUCAUGCUGAAGAAGCUGGCUAUCAUGUUUUUAAGAGGUUGAUGGAAAGACCUAAAUGGCAGGCAACCAAGGAAGGUCUUGGCCAACUGCUCAUGAGGAACUGAGGCCUCAGUCCAACAGCCCAUAUGGAAUUGAACCCUGGCAACAAUCAUAAGAGUAAGCUAGGAAAUGACUCCUUCCCAGCCAAGACUUCAGAUAAUUUCAGCCUAUGGAACCCUGUCAAGGACCCAGUCAGGCCACACCCAAAUUGCCAAACUAAAGAAAUUGAGAUCAUAAAUAAUUUAAGCUACCAAAGUUUUGUGGCAGUUGUCACAAAAUCCAUUUUCUUUUUUUUUUUAAAUCUUUUUUUUAAAAAUUUUAUUUAUUUAUUAUAUGUAAGUACACUGUAGCUGUUUUCAGACACUCUAGAAGAGGGAGUCAGAUCUCGUUACAGAUGAUUGUGAGCCACCAUGUGCUUGCUGGGAUUUGAACUCCGGACCUUUGGAAGAGCAGUCGGGUGCUCUUAGCCACUGAGCCAUCUCAACAGCCCCAAAAUCCAUUUUCUUUUUGAGUGAAUUAGAUUUAAUUUAAAUUUUUCUGGUAUAAUUUAUAAUAUGGUAAAUAUUAUUAGAUAUAGCCUAUGGCAACAAAUGUUUCUUGAAAUUCUCAAUCACCUACUGCCUCCGACCUUCUCCAAUUUCCCCCACUCCCCCUCCAGUUCUGGUAUUAAAGGUAUGCUAUACA
rnacentral:lncRNA from 1 species